rnacentral:rRNA from 1 species
GACGAACGCUGGCGGCGUGCUUAACACAUGCAAGUCGAACGGAAAGGCCCUGCUUUUGUGGGGUGCUCGAGUGGCGAACGGGUGAGUAACACGUGAGUAACCUGCCCUUGACUUUGGGAUAACUUCAGGAAACUGGGGCUAAUACCGGAUAGGAGCUCCUGCUGCAUGGUGGGGGUUGGAAAGUUUCGGCGGUUGGGGAUGGACUCGCGGCUUAUCAGCUUGUUGGUGGGGUAGUGGCUUACCAAGGCUUUGACGGGUAGCCGGCCUGGGUGGGUGACCGGCCACAAGGGGACUGAGGGACGGCGCAGUGUGGUACAGUGGACAGCGGGGGGAAAUAUGGACCAGUGGUCGGAAGCGGGUGACGGCAGCCCCGCGUGUGUGAUGACGGCUUUCGGGGUGUAAACCGCUUUCGCCUGUUACGAAGCUGGUGUGACGGUAAUGGAUAAAGAAGCACCGGCUAACUACGUG